rnacentral:lncRNA from 1 species
ACGACAGUUUCAGACGCCCCUCCAGCUGCCGGAGACCAGUUAUGGUCGAGUAAACUGGUUCUGAUAAACUGGUUACUGAUUUUACAGAAACCUGAACAAGCCUCAGCACUUUUCUGAACAACUUCAGACGACAAACGUGAGAAAACUUUGGAGAAAAAUGAAGAAGGAUCAGACAGCAGGAAGGUUUGAGGACAGAUGCAGAGCUGUCCAACUUCCUCCAGAGCAGAUAAACAGACCGCAGACAGGCUGAUCAACACUCAGAAUAAAGUCAUUUCUGUAGGUGAUACCAAUUCAUUUUGUUCUGGAGUUUAAGGCGAGAGGGAAAUUCUUCUUGAUCAUAAGUUAACUUCAAAACAGUAUUGAUUAUAUUGGUAAUUCUGCAUAAAUCUUUACAUGUUGUAAACUUAAAGGCUUUUAAAAUCAUCUAUUUCUUGUUGUGUUGAACUGUGCUAAAGAACAACCGUAAAAUCAACAGCAGGAAGAGUCGUAUGAUUUCUCAGUAAGACUGACUCUUACACUGACUUAACCCCACAGUUUCAGUUUGACCUGAAUUAAAACAUUUAUGGACUUAUUUAAUGACAGAAUAAUGUUGAGAGCCAAAUCAGAGUCAGAUCCACGGUCUGUAGGGGAGAGUCAAUAUGAUCUGAGAGGUGUCUGUAGUUUCACAAAUGUAUUUAAAGGGGACCUGCCAUAAAAAUGUAAUUUUUGGGGUUUUUUGUGUCAUAUAAGGUCCAUAUUAUGUUCGUCUUAUGUUGUACAUGUGAAAACAAACCGUUAUGUCGUUUUCAUUCUGUAAAGGUUUAAAAUCAAGGAACGAGUAAACCAGGCCAAUAGAAAAAGCCCGUCGGUGUUACGUUGCGUCGACGUUGCUCAUUAUUAUUCACGAGCGCGUCCUCGGUGAGCCGCGCCCACUCUCUCGUUCUCGUACUCAGUCACAGCCAGAGCGAGACCCAGCUACCACUGUAUCCGCUAUGGGUCUCUUCCAAACGACCGGUGUUUCCUUCGGUUCACUGCCGGGAAAAUGAACUUAAAGCUGGGCAGAAUGAAUGAGAAAACACCGCUGGAGAUCUCCGCCUUCUUCCUCAACUUCCACCUCCUCUUCGGACUCGGGGUCUAAAAUAUAUGGUUUAAUACCUGCCGUUUUUAGCCUUUAGCAUAAGGUGACCAGACGUCCCCGAUUUCCGGGGACAGUCCCCGUAUUGGAUGAUCUGUCCCCGGCAAAAGCUGUCCCCGAAAAUGUCCCCGAUUUAAGCGUUUCAUGAAUGAGAGCAAAAAUGUUGCGUGUGGGCUCGAACAACGGUUAUUACAGUAGCCGAAUGGGUAGGAAGCACAAGUUAGCAGUCCUGAACAACAGUUCUUACGGGGUUAUUACAAGGGGCAUGCGCUGCUACUGAAUAGUACCGAGACUUUGUCUGUGAUCACACAGCCCCUGCAGCCCCUGCACCGCCGCCGCCGCACCGAAUAUCCCCGGAUAUCAUUACAGACAUCUGGGCACCUUACUUUAGCACACAUUAGCAUAUGCUAUUAGCAUUAGCAUAAUAACAGUGGAUAAACCGAAAUCCGAACCUCCACUGCUGAACCAAUCAGAGCACAGCAGGCUUCACAGCAGCGAUCCAAUCAGAGCAAAGCUCAUUACCAUAAAUGUUAAUGAGCCAAAACCAGUUAGUUUUCCUGUAAGGUUUUUUAGGCAGACUAAAACAAACCAUCAAAUAACUUUUCAGCUAAAAUUAUGUUGCAAACAUGAUCAGAGGACAUCAAGGAUUAUGAAAAAAUGAUAAAAAUGGGGAUGAAGUUUUGGUGGCAGGUCCCCUUUAAAAUAAUGUUAAAUAAUAAUGUUCGUGUGAAAUGAUGCUGAUGAAAAUUCAAAAACAUGUGAAUCACUCUUUUUUUUUUUUUAAUGGCAUGUUUGGGAUGUUUUAAAAGCUUUUAAGAGUUCUGGUUUACCUGCUGUAAUUUUCUGGUGGACUGAGUUAACAGAAAUAAAGGGAAGGCUGUUGGAGGUUAAAAACCAUCGUUACUGCAGCAAAGAGCGCCCUCUACAGGGAGCUUUCCUGUAAUGUUGUCAGACAGCCCACAAAGACAAAAACAUGAACUUUAUCUCAGCCUGAUUUAAACCCAGCUGUGAGGAUACGCAGUAAAUUCCCAUAAUUCCUCCCAGAUCAGAGCCGAAUCAGCUGUUCAUGAAUAAACAGGAGGAUCCAUCCUGACAGACAGCAGCUUCAUCACAGUGACCAGCAGUAAAGGAGGUGAUAAAAGCAGUCUGUUGUUUGGUCUGUGGUGACACAAACACAACAGGACAAAAUCAAUAGAGCAAUGAGAGGUAGCACAGUGUCCACAGGGGGGCGCCAAAAUCAACACAGACCAAAAGUUUCUCACAGGAGCUGUAAAUUACCAAAAACUGAAUACUGUGUUUAAAGGUGGUGUAGUCAGGAUCUGAGUUAGUUCCAGUUUUUAGGAGAAAUCUUGAAUGUAAACUCUACCCCUCCAAACCAGUUUUCCCCUCAGCUCCUCCUCUCCCCUCAAGCCCCGCCCACAAACAGACGCUCCUGCUCGCUCGUAUCGUUCCAAUUAAAUUCAGAUAUAAUGCAGAUAAAUCCUUCAGAUCAUUACAAAUAGAUAUCGUUAUAUUACCAAAUGUCAUCAAUAACUAAUAACUAUUGACUGAUAUUAGAUUUUUUUGUAUAAAAACCACAAAAUAAAAAGAUGCUUCUUUAACAGAUUCCUGUCUACUUCACCUUUAAGUCGGUUUUCUUCUUGUGGACCAGACUUCUUUCCUUAGACUAGAGAUCAGCUGGACUCUCUUAUAUGAACACUGAGUUCUUGUUGCUGAUGUGGAUCUGUGUGAGUCUGAGUGUGUUUGUUUUCUGCUGCCAUUCUUGGUCAGGACCCCCCCUGAAAAAGAGAUUGAUGAUCUCAACAGGACUAGUCUGGUUACAUCAAAUCAAAAAGACACACAACCUCCUCCUGUCUUUGUCCUCUACAGAAAACCUGAUCCAGCUGCAGGACUCACAUCUGGGACAUGUAAGACCACAUGGAUCCAUGACCCAGACGGAGCGGUAACAUGACAUCCAGCAGAAACAGACACAAUAAAGACAAACAGACGAGGUGAUUUCAGUGACUCAGUUUGAGGAUUUUUAUGAUUUUUUUACCCACAAUCAGAGACUUGACCACAAUCUGAGCUGAGUGAGAAACAUCCAAACAGUCGGACUAAUAAAUGUGAUUAUUAUUAUUAGAGUGAUUGAAAAGCUCAUAACAACAUGUAGAUCUGUCCAAAGUCUGAUUCUAGAUGUCUUUACAAACACACUGAUCCAACAGAAGCAGACAGAAAUAUCCAUCGAUCACAUGAACACAAAUAUUCAGCAAACAGAGAAAGAAACAGAUCAUCUGAAGAGUUUUUGGGGACGACUGGAAAGACUUUAGACGCUUGGAUUUGGGACAGGAAAUAAGGUCGUCCUUUUUCUGUGAUUUUGACCUCACUUUUUUCUAAAGUCUCAGACCUUCAACAUCUGCACCAACUGAAGGUGAUUUGAACAAACCAUCAUCUUGAUGUUGUUGAUAUCAAACUUGAUGAAGAUUUUUCAACAUGAGAAAUACAAACAAUCAAAGUUCUCCACAAUCACUGUCCUUAAAGCUGCGACCAAAUCAGCAUCUUUAGAAAAGAAUCAAAAAGCUGAAAUGAAGAACUAAACCCAGAGUUUUUGGUGAGACUGAUCCACAAACAUUUACAAACCAGAACAUUUCAAGAGUUCAAGGAUCUCAGUCCAUGAUUUUGGUCUGAUGGACUCAAAAUUCUCUUUAGUUCACUUCUAUAAACUCACCAGAGGCUCCAUCAGACCAUAACGUCAGUCCAGCAUGUAGAGGUUCAGUGAAUGUGGUCUGGACUCUGUGGAGGAGAGUCAUGGUUUCAGAGACGCUGUAGAAGGACAGAAUACCUCCGCUGUGAUCCAGGUACACUCCUACUCUGGAGGACGGACGACCUGAGACAUCAGUGAAGAGUGUGUUGUACAAAAAUCUAUACCUGUCUUGAUAACAGUCUAACCUCCAAGAUUUAUCAUUGUAUCCAAAUAAACAAUCCCCUGAUUCUCCUGCUCUCCUGAUAGUCUUGUAUGCGACUGCUACAUCAACCUCGUACCCUCUCCAGUCCACCUCCCAGUAACAACGUCCAGUCAGACUCUCUCUACUCAGGACCUGAGGAUAAGUGAAUCUGUCUGGAUGAGCAGGAUAAGACUGUUCUUCUCCUGUCUUUGUUGCUCUUCUGUUUCCAUCAGAUAAUAACAGUCGUCUGUUUGCUGUGUUUGGAUCCAGUGUGAUUCUUUUUGAAUAUCUUAAGAAACCAGCUCUGGUCUUGGGUUCUGCUGGUCCUGGUGGUUCUAACAGUAAAACAUCCACUUGAGUCACUGCCUGUGAGACGUUUGUCCACGUCUCUGUCAGAAGAUCCUGGAGUUUCUCUCUGACCUCUGACACAGCUGCUGUCACCUCCUCAAAGUAUCUCAGAGGACGGAUGUUGAUUCUGGAUGAGUCUGCAGGUUGACCCGGUUCUGACAGUGAGGGGUAGCUGUGCAGAAACUGGUUGUGGUCCUCUGUGAGUGAGAGCUUCUGCAGAUCAGCGUCUUUCCUCUUCAGCUCAGUGAUCUCCUGCUCCAUCUUCUCCUGAAGCUCUUUGACUCGACUCACUUCACGUUCCUGCUGGGAUCUGACCUGCUGCUCCACGUCAGAGCAGCGUUUCUCCAUCAGACGGAUCAGCUGGCUGAAGAUCUCCUGGCUGUGCUCCACAGCUUUAUCAGCAGAGCUGUUGAUAGCCUCCACCUCCUGUUGGAGCAGCUUCACAUCUUCUUCUCUGUCCUGGAUUCUCUGCUGGAUGUUUCCUCGACUCUCCUCCAGAUCUUUCUGCCUCUCAGUCCUUUCUGCUGCAGCUGAGACUGUGUCGUGACCUUUGUGUUGGUCCAAACAGCAGAGAGAACAGAUGGACUUCUGAUCAGUGCGGCAGAACAUCUUCAUCACCUCAUCAUGACGAGAGCAGAUGUUCUCCUGGAGCUUCUUGGAGGGCUCCACCAGCUUGUGUUUCUUAAAUGUAGGAGAUUCAAAAUGAGGCUGGAGGUGAAUCUGACAGUAAGAAGCCAGACAUUGAAGACAGGACAUGACAGCUUUCAGUUUUCUCCCACUGCAGGAAUCACAGGCCACAUCUUCAGGUCCAGCCUCAGAGGAACCAUCAGGAGCAGCUUGGAGUCCACUCUUCUUCACUUCCUCCACUAAACCUGCUAACAUGGUGUUUUUCUUCAGGACAGGCCUCGGUCUGAAAGUCUCUCUGCACUGAGGACAGUGGUAGAUCUUCUUCUCAUCCUCAGUAUCCCAGUAGGUUUGAAUACAGCUCAUGCAGAAGCUGUGUCCACAGGAAACAGUCACAGGAUCCUUCAGAAGAUCCAAACAGAUGGAACAAGAGAAAGACUCAUGGUCCAGAUGAACUCCUUUCUGCGCCAUUUCAACACUCGCUGUCGACGACGACUGACUGAGUUUUAUUUCCUGAGAAGUGAAACUAGUCUGAGCUCUGAUCUCAACAACAUGUGUGAGUCAGCAGGAUAUGACCUCAGCACACGGAGGUUACACCCAACCUUUAGGCUGUAGAUCUAAAGGGGAGGAAGCAAGGAAGGGAAGGGAACAAGGAUGUGAGAGUGCAGAGUGGAGUGAGCUGAGAGAGACGAGGGAGGGGGGGGAUCCAGUUUGUCAACAUUCCAGGAAGAGGAGUGUCUCUGUGAACUUUAGACUCUCAAACUCCAACAAGCAGAAGUUCUUAAAGCUGCAGCCGUCCUGAAGAUCAACUGAACCAACAUUUAUUCACCUCAUAGAAACCUCAUCGAGCAGAAACACACUUCAACUGUUUUAGAGCCACAGAGUUAAAGAUACAACACAGAGAAACACUCUCUCUCUCUCUCCCUCUCUCUCUCUCUCUCUCUCUCUCUCUCCCUCCCUCUCUCGAUUUAUUUCUUCUUUGGUUUGUUCUCGUUGUUUAUUCUCUGUUUUCUCAUCAUCCUUUCUCUAAUCUGUGUCUCCUCUUUCUCCCUCUCCCACAAAGGUGAUCUUCUCCAGUGUUCCCAGCUGAGCCGUGGUCUCUCACAGAUGUCAGGUCUAGAUGAUCCUAAAUCAGAGGAAUGAGGAUCUUAAUCUGGUCUAAUCUGAGGGUCGAUGAAUUUGACUGUCGUUGAUGUCACCUCUGAAAACAGGAAAUAUCUGCACUGUAACCCCAACUUCCACCUUCAUCCUGAUCGUCUCCUAAAAGGUCGUAUCCUCCGAUCGUAGCUGAUCGUAACCAUUCAAGUUAACGUGUCAAUUUACACCGACUUCUUUCCGUUCCUCUGAGGAUCGCCGGACUCCUCAGCUGAUCACAAGAGUUCUAUUUUUUCUGGACACCGGAGCAUGGCAGAUAAAUUCAGCACAGGUUAACCCGUGCUGGAAAGGAAGUCUGGCACAGACACAAAAUUAAACAUCCGGCUUCUUUUCAAAAUAAAACACUCCGUGUUUCAGGAGGAUUGUAUUUCACACCAUGCAAACGGGCGGAGACGAACAAGUGAAAGGUUUUUAGACGUCAUUUCACCCCGAUGACACCAUGGAUGAUGCUGAUUCUAGAAGUCUAGAAGUAGAUUUCCUCCUCUGGAAGGACACAAUCUACUUGUGAGUUCUAGUGAUUACCGUUGUCCGUUGCUAUGACGUGGAAACCAGCGUAAACAACGCUACAAUGACGACCAAGUAUUACUGCAUUACAGUGUAUUACAGUGCUUUGGGCAUUGGGACAAUGUUCGAUAGAGACCACAUGUCAGGCAGCCGAUUGUGCAGCAAAGCAAGGUUGCAGAACUCUAGGAUGAUGUUGUUGAGAUCACAGUUCUUCAGGUUGCAGGUCCCGGCAUGAGUACCUGCUGUACAGCUUAUGGAUUAUCCUGAGAACUGAAAACAGGACACAAGAAUCGCACACAUGUUGCUGUUUCCACACAAUUAACGGGAUAAUGUGUAGUUUUAUUAAACCACCAAAAAAA